AAGUCGUAACAAGGUUUCCGUAGGUGAACCUGCGGAAGGAUCAUUACAUUCAGUAGCCCAGCUACUUGUUUACACCCUUGUCUUUUUGCGUACUUAUCGUUUCCUCGGCGGGCUUGCCUGCCGGUUGGACAACUUUAUAACCUUUUUAAAUCUUCAAUCAGCGUCUGAAUAAUAUACAAUAAUUACAACUUUCAACAACGGAUCUCUUGGUUCUG
rnacentral:misc_RNA from 1 species